UACGGAGGGGGCUAGCGUUGUUCGGAAUCACUGGGCGUAAAGCGCACGUAGGCGGCUACUCAAGUCAGAGGUGAAAGCCUGGGGCUCAACCUCAGAAUUGCCUUUGAAACUAGGUAGCUUGAAGAUGGGAGAGGUAAGUGGAAUUCCGAGUGUAGAGGUGAAAUUCGUAGAUAUUCGGAAGAACACCAGUGGCGAAGGCGGCUUACUGGACCAUUCUUGACGCUGAGGUGCGAAAGCGUGGGGAGCAAACAGG
rnacentral:rRNA from 1 species